CUGGAGGAGGGAGGGCAAAGGUGGAGGGGGUAGGGUGUGUGAAUCCGAGUCAAACUUUGCCCUACCUUGGCAAGUGUGAUUAUCGUCAGACAGCACCAAGCCCCUGGGACACUCGCACUGAUAGCCCCUCUCAGACCCGACACAAGAAUGGCUGCAGCCACCAUUGUUAUUGUGGCAUCCUUCGAUGUCUGUAGAGCAAGAAUAAGAGUUACCUAAAUGUGACCCUCUUCUGCAGGAAUCACAGCAUUAAUCACCAGAGAUUAUUCUUGGUCCAUGGCAGAAUCGUGGAGGUCUAAUGAGAUACCCAGCUCUGGGAGAAGCUGGUUACCAGGAAGACAAGCCUAUAGCUCUACAGAGAAGCCUAUGUGAAGAAGUGGCACCUCCCACAAACAACUUCAUCUCCCUCAUUAGUGAGCAAUCUUAGAAUUGGAUUCUCCAGCCCAGAUCGAGUCUUCAAACGACUAUAGCCCUAGAUGACAUAGGCUUGCAGCCUCACGAGUUUCCACCCUGCUCAAGUAAACUGUUCUGAAUCUCCAAUUUACAGAAAUACCAGAAUGAAGGGUCCUUGAUGUUCCAAGACCCUCUGAAAUAAUUUCCCAGAGUUAAAUACCAGUUCUGUGUAUACUUAGACUUUAUAUAAAUAAAUGGUCCUGGUGUGUCCAACCUUC